rnacentral:rRNA from 1 species
UGCAGUCGAGCGCCCUCUUCGGAGGGAGCGGCGGACGGGUGAGUAACGCGUGGGAACGUGCCCUUUUCUCCGGAAUAGCCUCGGGAAACUGAGAUUAAUGCCGGAUACGCCCUUUUGGGGAAAGAUUUAUCGGAGAAGGAUCGGCCCGCGUUGGAUUAGAUAGUUGGUGGGGUAACGGCCUACCAAGUCUACGAUCCAUAGCUGGUUUGAGAGGAUGAUCAGCCACACUGGGACUGAGACACGGCCCAGACUCCUACGGGAGGCAGCAGUGGGGAAUCUUGGACAAUGGGGGCAACCCUGAUCCAGCCAUGCCGCGUGAACGAUGAAGGCCCUAGGGUUGUAAAGUUCUUUCAGCGGGGAAGAUAAUGACGGUACCCGCAGAAGAAGCCCCGGCUAACUCCGUGCCAGCAGCCGCGGUAAUACG